ACGCUAGCUACAGGCUUAACACAUGCAAGUCGAGGGGCAGCAUGGUCUUAGCUUGCUAAGGCCGAUGGCGACCGGCGCACGGGUGAGUAACACGUAUCCAACCUGCCGUCUACUCUUGGACAGCCUUCUGAAAGGAAGAUUAAUACAAGAUGGCAUCAUGAGUCCGCAUGUUCACAUGAUUAAAGGUAUUCCGGUAGACGAUGGGGAUGCGUUCCAUUAGAUAGUAGGCGGGGUAACGGCCCACCUAGUCUUCGAUGGAUAGGGGUUCUGAGAGGAAGGUCCCCCACAUUGGAACUGAGACACGGUCCAAACUCCUACGGGAGGCAGCAGUGAGGAAUAUUGGUCAAUGGGCGAGAGCCUGAACCAGCCAAGUAGCGUGAAGGAUGACUGCCCUAUGGGUUGUAAACUUCUUUUAUAAAGGAAUAAAGUCGGGUAUGGAUACCCGUUUGCAUGUACUUUAUGAAUAAGGAUCGGCUAACUCCGUGCCAGCAGCCGCGGUAAUACGGAGGAUCCGAGCGUUAUCCGGAUUUAUUGGGUUUAAAGGGAGCGUAGAUGGAUGUUUAAGUCAGUUGUGAAAGUUUGCGGCUCAACCGUAAAAUUGCAGUUGAUACUGGAUAUCUUGAGUGCAGUUGAGGCAGGCGGAAUUCGUGGUGUAGCGGUGAAAUGCUUAGAUAUCACGAAGAACUCCGAUUGCGAAGGCAGCCUGCUAAGCUGCAACUGACAUUGAGGCUCGAAAGUGUGGGUAUCAAACAGGAUUAGAUACCCUGGUAGUCCACACGGUAAACGAUGAAUACUCGCUGUUUGCGAUAUACUGCAAGCGGCCAAGCGAAAGCGUUAAGUAUUCCACCUGGGGAGUACGUCGGCAACGGUGAAACUCAAAGGAAUUGACGGGGGCCCGCACAAGCGGAGGAACAUGUGGUUUAAUUCGAUGAUACGCGAGGAACCUUACCCGGGCUUAAAUUGCAGAUGAAUUACGGUGAAAGCCGUAAGCCGCAAGGCAUCUGUGAAGGUGCUGCAUGGUUGUCGUCAGCUCGUGCCGUGAGGUGUCGGCUUAAGUGCCAUAACGAGCGCAACCCUUGUUGUCAGUUACUAACAGGUUCCGCUGAGGACUCUGACAAGACUGCCAUCGUAAGAUGUGAGGAAGGUGGGGAUGACGUCAAAUCAGCACGGCCCUUACGUCCGGGGCUACACACGUGUUACAAUGGGGGGUACAGAGGGCCGCUACCACGCGAGUGGAUGCCAAUCCCCAAAACCUCUCUCAGUUCGGACUGGAGUCUGCAACCCGACUCCACGAAGCUGGAUUCGCUAGUAAUCGCGCAUCAGCCACGGCGCGGUGAAUACGUUCCCGGGCCUUGUACACACCGCCCGUCAAGCCAUGGGAGCCGGGGGUACCUGAAGUGCGUAACCGCGAGGAGCGCCCUAGGGUAAAACUGGUGACUGG
rnacentral:rRNA from 1 species